CCUACGGGUGGCAGCAGUGGGGAAUAUUGGACAAUGGGCGCAAGCCUGACCCAGCAACGCCGCGUGAAGGAAGAAGGCUUUCGGGUUGUAAACUUCUUUUGACAGGGAAGAGUAUAAGACGUUACCUGUCGUAUCAGACACGGGUUACUACGUGCCAGCAGCCGCGGUAAUACGUAGGUAGCAAGCGUUGUCCGGCUUAACUGGGUGGAAAGGUCGUGUAGCCGGGUUUGUAAGUCAGGUGUGAAAUCCUGGGGCUUAACCGCAGAACUGCAUGUGAAACUGGUGAACUUGAGUAAUAGAGAGGCAGACGGAAUUCCAAGUGUAGCGGUGAAAUGCGUAGAUAUAAGGAGGAACACCAGAGGCGAAGGCAGUCUGCUGG
rnacentral:rRNA from 1 species